AGCGUACACGGUGGAUGCCCUGGCAGUCAGAGGCGAUGAAGGACGUGCUAAUCUGCGAAAAGCGUCGGUAAGGUGAUAUGAACCGUUACAGCCGGCGAUGUCCGAAUGGGGAAACCCAGUGCAAUUCGUUGCACUAUCGUUAACUGAAUACAUAGGUUAACGAGGCGAACCGGGGGAACUGAAACAUCUAAGUACCCCGAGGAAAAGAAAUCAACCGAGAUUCCCCCAGUAGCGGCGAGCGAACGGGGAGCAGCCCAGAGUCUGAAUCAGCUUGUGUGUUAGUGGAACGGUCUGGAAAGUCCGACGGUACAGGGUGAUAGUCCCGUACACCAAAAUGCACAGGCUGUGAACUCGAAGAGUAGGGCGGGACACGUGGUAUCCUGUCUGAAUAUGGGGGGACCAUCCUCCAAGGCUAAAUACUCCUGACUGACCGAUAGUGAACCAGUACCGUGAGGGAAAGGCGAAAAGAACCCCGGCGAGGGGAGUGAAAAAGAACCUGAAACCGUGUACGUACAAGCAGUGGGAGCACCUUCGGGUGUGACUGCGUACCUUUUGUAUAAUGGGUCAGCGACUUAUAUUCUGUAGCAAGGUUAACCGUAUAGGGGAGCCGCAGGGAAACCGAGUCUUAACUGGGCGUUAAGUUGCAGGGUAUAGACCCGAAACCCGGUGAUCUAGCCAUGGGCAGGUUGAAGGUUGGGUAACACUAACUGGAGGACCGAACCGACUAAUGUUGAAAAAUUAGCGGAUGACUUGUGGCUGGGGGUGAAAGGCCAAUCAAACCGGGAGAUAGCUGGUUCUCCCCGAAAGCUAUUUAGGUAGCGCCUCGUGAAUUCAUCUUCGGGGGUAGAGCACUGUUUCGGCUAGGGGGUCAUCCCGACUUACCAACCCGAUGCAAACUACGAAUACCGAAGAAUGUUAUCACGGGAGACACACGGCGGGUGCUAACGUCCGUCGUGAAGAGGGAAACAACCCAGACCGCCAGCUAAGGUCCCAAAGUCAUGGUUAAGUGGGAAACGAUGUGGGAAGGCACAGACAGCCAGGAUGUUGGCUUAGAAGCAGCCAUCAUUUAAAGAAAGCGUAAUAGCUCACUGGUCGAGUCGGCCUGCGCGGAAGAUGUAACGGGGCUAAACCAUGCACCGAAGCUGCGGCAGCGACACUAUGUGUUGUUGGGUAGGGGAGCGUUCUGUAAGCCUGCGAAGGUGACCUGUGAGGGUUGCUGGAGGUAUCAGAAGUGCGAAUGCUGACAUAAGUAACGAUAAAGCGGGUGAAAAGCCCGCUCGCCGGAAGACCAAGGGUUCCUGUCCAACGUUAAUCGGGGCAGGGUGAGUCGACCCCUAAGGCGAGGCCGAAAGGCGUAGUCGAUGGGAAACAGGUUAAUAUUCCUGUACUUGGUGUUACUGCGAAGGGGGGACGGAGAAGGCUAUGUUAGCCGGGCGACGGUUGUCCCGGUUUAAGCAUGUAGGCUGGUUAUCCAGGCAAAUCCGGAUAAUCAAGGCUGAGGUGUGAUGACGAGGCACUACGGUGCUGAAGUAACAAAUGCCCUGCUUCCAGGAAAAGCCUCUAAGCAUCAGGUAACAUCAAAUCGUACCCCAAACCGACACAGGUGGUCAGGUAGAGAAUACCAAGGCGCUUGAGAGAACUCGGGUGAAGGAACUAGGCAAAAUGGUGCCGUAACUUCGGGAGAAGGCACGCUGGUGUGUAGGUGAAGUCCCUGCGGAUGGAGCUGAGACCAGUCGAAGAUACCAGCUGGCUGCAACUGUUUAUUAAAAACACAGCACUGUGCAAACACGAAAGUGGACGUAUACGGUGUGACGCCUGCCCGGUGCCGGAAGGUUAAUUGAUGGGGUUAUCCGUAAGGAGAAGCUCUUGAUCGAAGCCCCGGUAAACGGCGGCCGUAACUAUAACGGUCCUAAGGUAGCGAAAUUCCUUGUCGGGUAAGUUCCGACCUGCACGAAUGGCGUAAUGAUGGCCAGGCUGUCUCCACCCGAGACUCAGUGAAAUUGAACUCGCUGUGAAGAUGCAGUGUACCCGCGGCAAGACGGAAAGACCCCGUGAACCUUUACUAUAGCUUGACACUGAACAUUGAGCCUUGAUGUGUAGGAUAGGUGGGAGGCUUUGAAGCGUGGACGCCAGUCUGCGUGGAGCCAACCUUGAAAUACCACCCUUUAAUGUUUGAUGUUCUAACGUUGGCCCCUUACCGGGGUUGCGGACAGUGUCUGGUGGGUAGUUUGACUGGGGCGGUCUCCUCCCAAAGCGUAACGGAGGAGCACGAAGGUUAGCUAAUCCUGGUCGGACAUCAGGAGGUUAGUGCAAUGGCAUAAGCUAGCUUGACUGCGAGCGUGACGGCGCGAGCAGGUGCGAAAGCAGGUCAUAGUGAUCCGGUGGUUCUGAAUGGAAGGGCCAUCGCUCAACGGAUAAAAGGUACUCCGGGGAUAACAGGCUGAUACCGCCCAAGAGUUCAUAUCGACGGCGGUGUUUGGCACCUCGAUGUCGGCUCAUCACAUCCUGGGGCUGAAGUAGGUCCCAAGGGUAUGGCUGUUCGCCAUUUAAAGUA
rnacentral:rRNA from 1 species